UUCUGUGUACAGAACCUAUUUCUCUUUCUCUCUUUCCUUACUCUCUCCCUCUCAUCUCCAUUCUCAAAUCUCUCCUCUCUCUCUUGCUCUACCACAGACACCGUCGGCCCUCUAUCACCAGUAGGUCCUCUCUCUAUCUCUCUCUCUACCUCUCUCACUCUCUCUGAUCUCUUUUUCUCAGAUCUAAAAUCUCUUCUGCCUUCCAAGAAGCCUCAAAUGGGGUUCUUCAUGCUCUCACCAAAGUUAUGAAGGUUGCAUUGUAUGAGCAGAAUGAGAAACCUUCUUCUACCCUUGAGUAUAUCGGAAGGAGCCGGCAUCACUUUCUUCUUUUUUUUUCUUUUUUUUUUGGUUUUCAGGUACACCGGAAAGAGCCGGCCAUCUCUGUUCCGUCACUUUUUUCUUGUAAUUCAUAUUUUUAAUUAAAUGUAAAUCAUAUUUUAUGCAAAGAGAGUGGAAUAUUUUGUAUGGUGUAGAAAUUUAAUGGCAAU